rnacentral:rRNA from 1 species
GGAGCGUUCCACCUUAGAUAGAAGCAUUAGCGUAAGCGGAUGUGGACGAAGUGGAAGUGAGAAUGUCGGCUUGAGUAGCGAAAACAUUGGUGAGAAUCCAAUGCCCCGAAAACCUAAGGUUUCCUCCGGAAGGCUCGUCCGCGGAGGGUGAGUCAGGACCUAAGGUGAGGCCGAAAGGCGUAACUAAUGGACAACGGGUUAAUAUUCCUGUACCAUUUAUUACUGGUAUCGAGGGACGGAGAAGGCUAAACCAUCCGGAUGUUGGUUACCGGUUUAAGCGUUAAAGGUGUUGAGAAACGGAGAAAACGUUUUGAGCUAAGGCGUGAAUACGAGAUACUAAGGUAUCGAAGUGGUUGAAGUCAUACUUCCAAGAAAAGCUCGGAAUAUCAUAAGUAAUAAAUGCCUGUACCUUAAACCGACACAGGUAGGUAGGUAGAGUAUACCAAGGGGCGCGAGAUAACUCUCUCUAAGGAACUCGGCAAAAUAACCUCGUAACUUCGGAAGAAGAGGUACCCUUGCAAGAGGGUUGCAAUAACCAGACCCUGGCGACUGUUUACCAAAAACACAGGGCU